UAUCACUAAGCGGAGCAAACGGGUCCCUGCCUUGCCCUAGGUUGGUAACUUGAAGGAACCCUGUCUUGGAUUUGGCCUUUCGUCUAUGUUCCUUGGAACAGGACGUCACAGAGGGUGAGAAUCCCGUGCGAUGAGGUGUCCAUUUCUAUGUAAGAUGUUUUCGAAGAGUCGAGUUGUUUGGGAAUGCAGCUCUAAGUGGGUGGUAAAUUCCAUCUAAAGCUAAAUAUUGGCGAGAGACCGAUAGCGAACAAGUACAGUGAUGGAAAGAUGAAAAGAACUUUGAAAAGAGAGUGAAAAAGUACGUGAAAUUGUUGAAAGGGAAGGGUAUUAGAUCAGACUUGGUAUUUAGUUAUCAUUACUCCUUGUGGGUGGUGCUCUAACUUUUUACUGGGCCACCAUCAGUUUUGGUGGCAGGAUAAUGACAUUUGAAUGUGGCUCCUCGGAGUGUUAUAGCUUUUGUUGAUACUGCCUAGCGCGACUGAGGUCUGCGGCUUUUGCCUANGGAUGCUGGACGUAAUGAUCCAAUUAC
rnacentral:rRNA from 1 species